ACAACGCUGCCCUGAAAUUUUUGGAGAGGAUUGGAAUCGCGGAUGCAAAGGAGCUCAUAAGAAACGAUCCCUUGUCGUUCCUGACAACUCUUAUCGGAAGGUACCAAGAGCACCUUCCCUUUCAGUGCUUGAAUAUUCUGGCCAAGACACAGGCAGAAAAGCAUGUACCAACACUGGAGGAGGUUGUGGAGGCCGGUCUCAGCCUAGAAGGUGGACUUUGCCUCACACUAAACACCUUCAUGUGCAUCCUCCUUCAUACGUUGGGAUUCAAAGCGGAUGUCCUCGAUGGGUCCUACAGCACUCACGGCGAUACACACUCCCACGUUGUUGUCCUUCUCAAAGAUUUACGAGGUAACGAUGACAACUUCAUCGUCGACGUGGGAAGUGGUUACCCGUUCGAAGACCCGAUACAGCUGAGCGACAUGCCCUGUACUCGGUGUUGUGCAGGACAAGAGUACAGAUAUGAACAGCACGGAGACACCAUUUGGCGAUUGCAUCGACCUAGAGAUGAUUUGG